CCCGCCUGCCCUGUGACAAAUGUUUAACGGCCGCGGUAUUUUGACCGUGCAAAGGUAGCGCAAUCACUUGUCUUUUAAAUGAAGACCUGUAUGAAUGGCAUGACGAGGGCUUAACUGUCUCCUUUUUCCAGUCAAUGAAAUUGAUCUUCCCGUGCAGAAGCGGGAAUAUAACCAUAAGACGAGAAGACCCUAUGGAGCUUUAGACAAAGACAGUUCUUGUUAAGCACUUCAAAAUAAAGAAAUAAACNUAAAAGAACCCUGCCCUGNCUGUCUUUGGUUGGGGCGACCACGGGGAGAUAAAUAACCCCCACGCGGACUGAGAAUACAAUUCUCACAACCAAGAGUUACAACUCUAAUCAACAGAAAUUCUGACCUUNAAGAUCCGGCAGUGCCGAUCAACGGACCGAGUUACCCUAGGGAUAACAGCGCAAUCCCCUUUUAGAGUCCAUAUCGACAAGGGGGUUUACGACCUCGAUGUUGGAUCAGGACAUCCUAAUGGUGCAGCAGCUAUUAAGGG
rnacentral:rRNA from 1 species